GUGUGUUCCAGGUAAAUCCGGUUCACUUUAACACUGAGGCGUGACGACGAGGCACUACGGUGCUGAAGCAACAAAUGCCCUGCUUCCAGGAAAAGCCUCUAAGCAUCAGGUAACAUCAAAUCGUACCCCAAACCGACACAGGUGGUCAGGUAGAGAAUACCAAGGCGCUUGAGAGAACUCGGGUGAAGGAACUAGGCAAAAUGGUGCCGUAACUUCGGGAGAAGGCACGCUGACACGUAGGUGAAGUGAUUUACUCA
rnacentral:rRNA from 1 species